AAAGUCGUAACAAGGUUUCCGUAGGUGAACCUGCGGAAGGAUCAUUAUCGUACAACGGAGGUGCAAGGGCUGUCGCUGACCUUCAAAGGUCGUGCACGCCCGAGCCCUUUCACACCAAUCCAUCUCACCCUUUUGUGCAUCACCGCGUGGGUCCCCCCCUUUGCCGGGGAGGGCUUGCGUUUUCACAUAAAACUUGACACAAUGCAGAAUGUUUUCUUUUUUUUGCGAUUAUAUGCAAUCAAUACAACUUUCAACAACGGAUCUCUUGGCUCUCGCAUCGAUGAAGAACGCAGCGAAAUGCGAUACGUAAUGUGAAUUGCAGAAUUCAGUGAAUCAUCGAAUCUUUGAACGCACCUUGCGCCCCUUGGCAUUCCGAGGGGCACACCCGUUUGAGUGUCGUGAAAUUCUCAAAACCCUUUUUCUUCGAUCCUUUCGAGGUUGGGAAAAGGAUUUUUGGACUUGGAGGUUCAAUGCUCGCCUUUCACUUUCGAAAGCGAGCUCCUCUAAAAUAAAUUAGUGGGGUCCGCUUUGCCGAUCCUUGACGUGAUAAGAUGUUUCUAUGUUUUGGAUUUAGGCUCUGUCCCUUGGAUUCCUGCUUCUAACCGUCUCACGGAGACAACGAUGGUGCUCCGGUCACCGCCGUUUAUAUCGGCGGGAGGCUGGACCCACAGAAAAAAAAACCUUGACCUCAAAUCGGGUGAGACUACCCGCUGAACUUAAGCAUAUCAAUAAGCGGAGGAAAAGAAACUAACAAGGAUUCCCCUAGUAACUGCGAGUGAAGCGGGAAAAGCUCAAAUUUAAAAUCUGGUGGUCUUUGGCCAUCCGAGUUGUAAUUUAGAGAAGCGUCUUCCGCGCUGGA
rnacentral:rRNA from 1 species